UUGACAGGGUUCUCCAUCAACUUGUGGGGUUGUUUACCCUCCUGAGGAGUUGAAAAGGCAACGUUGUUGAGCUGGGAUUUUCAGCAUUAUAAACUCCGAAAACGCAAGUGUUUGCUGAUUCUCAAGAGGCGACAGACUUUGAGAAGCUGAGCAGAGCUUUCGGCAAUGCUAUGUGUCUGGGAGUACACAAAAUUUUUAGUAUGGCCCACAGAGAAGAAGGGACUCUGAAAAAGGGUCUAGACUCUCAAUUAGAACUGAUGGAAGAUGAGAUCUUAAGGCAUGGAUCAGUGACUCUCAAACUUCAGCAUGCAUCAAAAUCAUCCAGCUAGAGGGCUUAUUAAACAUUAAUUCCUGGGUCCCACAAUCAGAGAUUCACCCAUUAUAUUUGGGUGAGAUCCAAAAUUUUUCAUUUCCAACGAGUUUCCAACUGAUGUUGAUGAUUGUAGUCCAGAGCCAUGUUUUGAGAACCAUCUCUUGAGAUACUGCUACAGAAUAGAUAGAAAAUUCCAACUAGGGAUAAACCAGUAAAGCAAGUGGUUAGUAAAAGUAAGACUUAAUGUUUACUGAGUCCUUUUUUGGUAAAUUUUCAGGCACUUUGUCAAUUACUUUCCAUUGAUGAUCUCAUUUAACCUUCACAACAAUCCCUGAGGCAGAUAAUAUUGGUUCCCAUUUUACAGAUGAGGAAAUGCAAGAUGAAAACAGGUAACUUGCCCAGGAUCACCCUGUGAGACCCAUUUGAACUCAAGUAGCCCCACCCCAAAAGGAGUCCAAAUCUAUGCUUCCAUGAUUCGCACAUAGUAGUGUGAGAUCAUACAAAGGGAUCAUACAAAAAGUUUUAUAAACAUUCAGAUUUCUGGGUUCCACAUUCAGAGAUUAAGACUCAAUAUCUUUAUAAUGAAGCUCAGCAAUCUGCAUUUCUAACUAGCAAUGCAUUUUUAGACAUUGAAUUAAGCUUUAAAUUAUUCUGGUUACAGAGCAGGCAGUACAGGUAAGUAGCAGAAUCCUUUUCAUCAUGUUGUAGAACAAAGCCUUAUUCUUGUAUUUGAGUUUUUUUUUUUUUUUUGAGAUGGAGUCUGGCUCUGUCGCCCAGCCUGGAG
rnacentral:lncRNA from 1 species